CUGAGAUUUGUUGUGGACCAUCAGAUGCCCGAAGGGGUUGAGAAUCAGCGGGUGCUACUCUGAGAUUGCACGGCAUGUUCCGCUCAAUGAUCGAGAUCUGCAAAAUGAAGCACACCCAUUCUUCUCCUGGACAGAGAUUCAACGAAAGCUCAGGAUCAGUUCAAAGUACGUCCACUGAACCGAC